GCCAGACUCCUACGGGAGGCAGCAGUGAGGAAUAUUGGUCAAUGGGCGAGAGCCUGAACCAGCCAAGUCGCGUGAAGGAUGACGGCCCUACGGGUUGUAAACUUCUUUUGUCAGGGAGCAAUUGGGUCCACGCGUGGGCUUAGCGAGAGUACCUGAAGAAAAAGCAUCGGCUAACUCCGUGCCAGCAGCCGCGGUAAUACGGAGGAUGCGAGCGUUAUCCGGAUUUAUUGGGUUUAAAGGGUGCGUAGGCGGAAUAUCAAGUCAGCGGUAAAAAUUCGGGGCUCAACCCCGUCGUGCCGUUGAAACUGGCAGUCUCGAGUUGGAGAGAAGUAUGCGGAAUGCGCGGUGUAGCGGUGAAAUGCAUAGAUAUCGCGCAGAACUCCGAUUGCGAAGGCAGCAUACCGGCGCUCAACUGACGCUCAUGCACGAAAGUGUGGGUAUCGAACAGGAUUAGAUACCCUCGUAU
rnacentral:rRNA from 1 species